ensembl:lncRNA
CAACAGUCAAUAUAAGAGCAUCAACAGAUCUCUUUCCUCUCAUUACUCACUCUACCUCAACUUGCACAUAGUGAAACAGGGCGCGGCAUUGUGAGGACACAGGGGCGAGAGAGAGGGAGAGAGAGAGAGAGAGAGAGAGAGAGAGAGAGAGAGAGAGAGAAAAGAGAAGUAUGAGCAGCGGUGCACGGUAACACACAGAGACACGUGCACACUGAAGUGCGUUGGGCUGUGUCUUGAUGAGCUCGGUGAUUCAACUUUUCUGCAAUCGAAGACUUUGGGGGCCACAGGACCGCCUGGUUGAUGACAGUGUCGAGGUUCUGAGCCCGGUCCCCGACAAAGGCGCCUCUAAAAAUAAGAAGAAAGGUGAAGGAGGGAGGAACUCUAGAGUCUUUUCCGGCCCCGUCGGUGCUCAAACGCUGUCGAAUCCGAUUGUUGCCACGAUAGUAGGCCUUCCCGGUGCCAGGUCGGCAUGACGCUUUGCUGUGCUGAGAAGAUACCGAACUUUACUCUCUAACUCCUGACAGAGAGAGAGAGAGAGAGAGAGAGAGAGAGAGAGAGAGAGAGAGAGAGAGAGAGAGAGAGAGAGAGAGAGAGAGAGAGGAGAGAGAGAGAGAGAGAGAGAGAGAGAGAGAGAGAGAGAGAGAGAGAGGUGCAACAAUUGCCGAAGGAACACUGCAAAAGGACUUAAACGCUUAAACAAGGAGGAGAAGAUCAGACUUUUUACAGAAUUCGUUGACUACGUCUAAUCAUGUUGUCUGCAAAUGCAGGUUGGUUUCUUUCCCCGCUUCGAAUUCUGCUUCCACUUCUCGCUGUCCCCUUCCUCCUUACACCAGAGGCCGAUCUUACCAUCUCAACUGCAAUCAUCCCUAACACCAAGGAACCGUUCAUGCAAAAUGGCCGACCAACGAUCGGUACGACCGGACUGCCCACCAUGGUUACUGUACCGAGUGAAGAACCAACCACAAGUCUAGGAGUCCAAAGGAUACAGGCCCAGGGGCCUGAGUCACCCUCUACAACGCCCUGGCAAGCUACUCUCCAGAGGUCAGAGAACCACACCGAGGCAACGACCCCCGCCGGCACUAGUUUAGAUACCACAUCCCAUGUUCCCGAGGCUGAGGCCUCGCCCACGGCGAGCUAUCACACGGAGGCUCUUGUGAGGUCAACCAGCGCAAGGCUUGAGUCAACGGAGGCAGCAGCGGUAGUCUCUGAGGCCACCACAGCCUACGCCACACCCAUCCUCGCAACCACCGACACCAGCCCCGGGCUCGCAGCCGCGACGACCUCAGGCUCUCAAACCCUCCGCUCCUCUGAGGCCUUCGCCACGUCUCGCAGCAGCGCGGCGACUCCGGAUACGCCCACGCCCACGCGACCCCCCGCCGCCACCGUCGGGGGGCGGAGGUUCUUCUCCGUCCUCACGACCCCCUCCCCCGGCUCCCCCCCCGUCGAGCCAGACUCCAGCGGCGAUUGGUCCGCUCGGCCGGCCCUCGUCCCCGUGAACCUGACCCCUACCCCGGGGGCGCAGAAGUUCCCCGUCCUCUGGACCGCGCUGGUGGUCCUGCUGGCCGUGGCCGCCCUGGUGGUCGCCCUCUGCCUGUGCUUGUGUGUCAGGCGGAGGAUAAAGCGGAGCCGGGUGCUUCACUUCGGGAGCCGCGGCUCCAAGAAGAACAAAGGGAAGGAGGGCGACGCCUGGGCCGGCCCGGUGGCCAUGAGCAGCAUGGCUGCCACGGCGACGGCGAGGGAGGAGGCGGGGGAGGAGGAGGAAGAGAAGAGGAAGGGCGGGGGGGAGGAGGAGGUGCUGCUGAGCACCUUUGGGGUGGACGGGACGGGGAGAAGCUCCCCCAACGGGAGGAGGGGAGCGGGGAGGGCAGAGGAACCACCGAUGUUGUUCAUCGAUGAAGACGAGGUGGAGGGGGAGGCAAAAGAUGGAGCAAACAAGCUGGAGGGCGGAGGAGGAGGAGGAGAGGUGGAGGAGAAGGGGAAGGAGAAGGAUGGUAAAGGACUCAAUGGGAAUGAACAGACGAAUGGAGGCACUUCAUUCUCCUACAUCACGGCGGUCUGAGGACUGUGCUACUAGGAUGGAACGUGAUGAUGAUGUUGCAGCAGACUGGUAUUUUUCGAUUGGACUUCUACUUGCUGAAACCUGAAUUGCCUCUGUACAUAGCCGUACACCUCUAGUUCUGUAUAUAGUGCUUUUCGUGCUUCGAAAUGCUUAUUUUUCACUUAAACUUGGGGAAGACCCUUUACAAUUUUUUAUCAGAUAGAAAUCAUGGGUGUCAAAUGCUCUUAUUACAAUCCUUUCUAGUUUUGUAUUAAUACAUUGAAUAAAAGCAAUGCGUAUUUACUCAAGAUCCAUGCAAACUUUUAUAUCGACUUUAUUGACAGCCUUCUGUACUUUGUAUAGAGUUUUGCUUUAGAGUCUUUUUCGUUUCUUUUUUAAUGCAAGUAGGCCUCAUAAUUCAUAAAAGAAUAUGCAAUUAUUAUGAAAGAGCAUUGUCAAAUUGAAAAUGUAUUGAUUAUAGUUGAAAGAAAGAAAGAAAAAAGAGCUUUCAUGAAUAAAAUAUAAUACUGCGAUACAGCAAGAGUAACCUGAUGCUAAGGUAUAUUUUUUGUCACAAAAUAGUAGUCUUAAUGUCAAAGGUUUUUCACAGAUUACUGAUCAGCCUAAAUUUUCCCCAUUUUUCCUAUUUACAUCCAAGCAAAAAGUCGGAAAAAACUGUGUCUCUGCUUCCCACAUUGCCGCCCAAAAUGCUGUAGGCCUACUUCCGUCGCGCCUGGGUUGGUGUUGUCACGCCAUGGUGUGGUUCUCCGGGCUGCAGCUGGACCCUACUCGGUUUAGGCAGCGUCGGACUCGGGCUCGGCUGGGGCUACAACUGUGCACAUUGAGUAAUCAGUGUACAGAGGUUAAACCAGCCGUGUCCACCCUCUACUAUGGCAACACGGAGCACCAGGCCAUGUAUCAGCCUUACAAUAAACCGGCUUCAACGUCAGCUCCGUGCCUGUGUCCGGGGUUUGUAGAAGCCUAAAUAAGGCAACCUAGGUUGCGUGUGGAAUGCCGCAUAUUCAUCGCUACACACAGUAGUUGGUAAAUACCCUUUGGUUGAACUCAUAUUUAAAUCACUUAAUUUUUAUUUUAAAAACGACAGGGAGUUUUGGUGUAAAACAAAAUCCUUAUCUAAAUUAAACUAAGAUUAGCUUUCCCCCCCAUAUUUCGUGUGCUCCUGUAUAAAAUGUUGUUUGGCGACGGCAUGAUUUGCUUACGGCCAUACCACCCUGAACACGCCCGAUCUCGUCGGAUC